rnacentral:lncRNA from 1 species
ACUAGAUCUUGGGAUUUCAUUGAAUCAGAUUUGGGAAUGAAACAUAGUGACACUCCUACAUACCAACAACAUUUAUCAAGUGAUAUCAUUAUUGGUGUUAUUGACACUGGUAAGAGAUAACAAAAAAAUAAUAUCAAAGUAUAUAUUAAAUAAGAAUUUUAGCUAAUUAACCUAGUCUACCAUAUAUAAAAUUGGACAUAGCACUUCAUUUCUAUUAAGCAUCUUAACAUAGUUACUAGAAGCAUUAUGCACAUACUGUUUUUUAUCUUAUAACAGUUGAAGGAAACUAAUAACUUAGGCACCAGAUUUUUUUGUUCCAUAAUUUGUACCACUCCCUAUGCCAUAAGUUAUGAUUGGUUAGAAAAACAUUUAAUCAUUAAAUUUUAACUUAAAUACAUUUUUUACAAUUAAUCACAAACUCAUAGCACAUAGAGUGGUUCUCAUUGUGGAACAGUAGAUGUGCACCCAAUAACAUCAUAUGCAACUUAUAUAAUAUUACUGGUAUUGGAAAUUACUAUUGUCACUCUAAAUUAUCUAACAAUAUGAUUUUCAAUAAUAAUUUUGUGCAAAAUAGUCUCAAUGAAAACUGAGCUGUCACUACCCAUUCCCUGUGGUUGAGGCCAAUUGGCAGUUGCAGCAUCAACAUCUAUAGUAAUGGCAACUCAUUGUGGCCCUCAACUAGCUGUUAUGUUUGCUACCAACAUCUUUUUUGACAGAAAACAAGCACAAUAACUUUCAUUUAAACUAGUAUGACUUAUUCAGUAACCAAGAAAAGUAGAAAAAUAUCAGUAUAUGUCCAUUGAAACCUUUACUUUAUUAUCUUGGUGUAUUAUAUAACAUGGGUUUCUUUUAAGCAGUGUGCAUUUUUUAUGUUUAAAGCAGAGGAGAUCUGAGGUUAUCCUCUCAAAUGCAGACCUCUAGUGAUGCUCAUUGUUGUUACUAGCAUAGUCAAAACCAAAGAAUAGGGCAGAGGUGUAAUUUAAGUUAUAUCACCAUAACUGCAGAAGUCAUAGUUAAUUCCUCUCAAUUGCAAAUGCAAUAUGAUAAUAUAGUUUUUUUAUCAAAAGAAUACCCUACCAACAACUCUUCAGACCCUAUAAUGUUGAUCCCUUUAUAAAUCAAGUGGUUUGUUUGAAACUAACCUAAAAAAUUCCUCACACUUUCAACAAAGCUUUGAGAGGAAAUUCUCAAGGUACUGUUCUAGGCUCUAGCUAUAGUCAUCUCCAGCUGCAUAUAUUAGUUGAGGAAUGUUAACAAAUGACAUAAGGAUAUUGUUUAAAGAUUUAAGAAGAGGUAAUUUUGUAUUAAAAAACUAAUUCUGCACUGUUUCCAUCUCAUUGCUUGAAUAGAAUGUAAAGUUAGAUAGAGUGGCAUUGAGGUUUAGCAAGAUAUUGAGAGAGAAUGCAUAUCAAUAAGUAAAAUAUAAAAAGAGGGGAAACUACAAAGCAUUCUAUAAAAUUAGAAUAACAUGAUGUUGAAUAUUCCACAAUAUCAAAAUGAAGUCAGCACCUAGACUUUAUUUUGUGCUGUCACAGUUUUGCAAUGACUUUCCUGACUUUGAUACUCUAAACAACCUUGGUAAACUGCAUCUGUUACUAAUCCAUUAAGGAUCAACAAUUAUAAAGAUCUUAUUGUAACUUUGCAAGGUACAUACUAUUAUGAACACAUUUUGUAAAUAUUAUUCAAUCAUAUUAUGCCUAUGUCUAUUUUUCAUCAAGGAAUAUGGCCAGAGUCUCCAAGUUUUAGAGAUGAGGGUAUAGGAAAGAUUCCUUCAAGAUGGAAAGGAGUUUGCAUGGAGGGUCAUGAUUUCAAGAAAUCCAAUUGCAAUAGGUGAUCAAUCAUUCUCUUACAAAUGUUUUAAGAAAAAUCUUAUAUCUAUUUAUAACAUCUUUCAAUAAUCAUAUUUUGACACUAGCAAAUUUGUAAAUUGAUUAUACUCUACAUUAUAAUUCUCUUAGUACAACUGCAGAAAAUUGAUAGGUGCAAGAUACUAUAAUAACCAAUUUACAUCAAGUGGCAACCAGACUCUUACUAAAGAAGUUAGAAGUUCUCCCAGAGAUACUGUUGGACAUGGAACUCACACUGCAUCAACAGCAGCUGGUGCUCAUGUAAAAGAUGCUAGUUAUUAUGGUUUAGCACAAGGAAUAGCAAGAGGUGGUUCACCUUCUGCUAGGAUUGCUGCCUACAAAGCGUGCUCCGAAGGUGGCUGCUCCGGAGCAACCUUACUAAAGGCUAUUGAUGAUGCUAUUAAGGAUGGUGUAGAUAUAAUCUCAAUCUCUAUUGGACUUAGCUCACUUUUCCAAUCAGAUUUUUUAGAUGAUCCAAUAGCCAUUGGAGCAUUUCAUGCAGAACAGAUGGGGGUCAUGGUGGUAUGUUCUGCUGGGAAUGAUGGUCCUGAUCCCUACACAGUUGUGAACACAGCACCCUGGAUAUUUACAGUUGCAGCUUCUAAUAUUGAUAGGAACUUCUUAUCAACUAUUGUCCUUGGAAAUGGGAAAACUUUCCAAGUAAGUUUCUUUAUCAACACUUUCAAGCCAAAUAAAGUAGUAGAUUUCAUAGCAUAAUUUCUAAUAAUUUAUCUAAAACAUUAUUUUUCCUUUGUUUAUGUUGUUAGGGUACGGGCAUUAACUUCUCAAACCUCACACGUUCGAAGAUGUAUCCUCUUGUCUUUGGGGAGAAAGUUGCUGCCAAAUUUGCACCUGCCUCUGAAGCUAGGUACCUAGUUGGUAAUUGGGAUUAUUCAUAUCAUAUUAUGAGCAUCCUUUCCUUGUCUCAAAAUUUCAUGUCUACACUUUUACUUAUCAUUUCAUGUCUCACAAUCUUUUAAGUCUGUAAUGACCAAAGACUCGAAAUGACGUAUGUUAAACUUUUGCUGAAAUGCAGGAACUGUUACCCUGGAUCACUAGAUUAUAACAAGAUCGCAGGCCACAUUGUUGUUUGUGUUAAUGACGAUCCAACUAUUUCAAGGAAAAUCAAGAAGACACUCUUAAAAGAUGCAAGAGCCAUGGGGAUCGUACUCAUUGGUGAGGACAAUAAAGAUGUUCCCUUUGAUGCAGAUGUAUUUCCCUACUCACAGGUUGGAAAUCUUGAAGGGCAUCAGAUCCUUGAGUACAUAAACUCUACCAAGUAAGCAUUAUUAAACUUAACAUGUAUUAAUUAAUUAUUUAAAGUAGCUUUCAUGUUCUACUGGUUCUUUUAGUAGGAUUCAAACCUAGAUUAAAUUCUAACCACAUACUGAUUAGUGACUUAAAGUAGCUUUCAUGUUCUAUGUGCAAAGAAGAUGGUGGAUAAUAAUGUGCAGUUAAUUAAAGAGAUUGCAGCUGAUAUAAAAUGCAUGCUGUGCAUAAAUAAAUAGAAAAUGUUCUUCAUUCUUUGUUGAUUAGAAAAAGUUAAGAAAUAUCAUACUAGCUGUAUGCUCAGUCUGUCGUGCCUUCAUGACAGGAACUCGAGUGCAACGAUUCUUCCAACAAAAGAAGUUAAUGGAUAUAGGCC